CUUUAAUUCACUUCCGUCUUCAUUUUCUUCUACUACCACAUUUCACCAUCCUUACUUAAUAAUACAUCAGAGUACUAUAAUCCCAUAAGGAUCACCGGGGUUUCUAAGAAUAUUCCGAGGGUGAAGGAAAAAGAUGUCAAAGAGGAGUAUGUUUUGUAGUGUCUUGAAAAUUAUGUAAAAUAUGGAUGACCUCGCAUUCCAUCUAGCGAGAUGGAUACUCCCAGCUGUUAUAAAACUUUUACAGUAUAGACUGAUAGAUCAGCUGAACAUAACAGUGGUUGGUAACCCUUCACCAGUCUUCAAUCACCUCCCACGGCCAUCUGCUCUCAAGAGCAGCUCCUUCAAUACUUCUGAAGUUGUGUUCUUCAAUGUUUUCACAACUUUCUCCAGAACAAAUUAAAAAUCAACUCGCAGAAAACGAAAGAGGUCUACUGGUCGAGAUACGUGUUCUGACAAAGGUUAAAAGAAACACUCGAAUAUUAAUUGGAAAUGGAAAGUAGGUGUAUAUCCUCGAUUAGUAUUAUUCUAUAAUGUUUGGUGUUUUCACUUGUGAAAGUAAAAAAAAAAGCCAAAACUAAAAAGGAUGAGCAAAGUUUUGUUUGAACCUAAUGCUCAUGUUUACAAGUUUCUCAAAACACCUGAUAAAUUUUAUUGUUACAAAAUCUGGGAGAAACUAUUUGCCGAGUUUUUUAAAAAUCAGCUCGUCUCUUUAACAGCUGCCUUGUGAAAGCAUCGCAUCAGAUCAAGAUGAAAACACAACAACUGGGCCAGCAUUUAAAUUGAAUCGUUUGCAACCAGACACCAACGGACAUGAUGUUAGCACUUUGGAGAGCACACACCCGGAGGCAGACCCCAUACUACGUACAUCCCUAGCCUGAUAAGAGCUGCUGGUGGUCUCCGUUCAUAGGAUUAAAAAUCAUCAGCCUCGGUAACUAUACCCUACGCUAGACUGAAGUGGAAUCCAGCACUGUAACAGUUGCAUACACAACAGUAGUGUUUGGUGGUCAGCUUUAUAUAGGAGAUACUAUAUUGCUGAGGUGGUCAGUUGUAUUCGCAGGUUAAUGGGAAUUUGUUCACCUGGGAUAUAGUCCAUUAAUCUGUCUGGACAUUGCAUGGUCAACAUCCACAAAAAGUUCAGUGACCAUUAAAACAUUUGCUAUAUCUUUACAAAUGUAUUAGGUUUAGUGUAAGCCAAUUCAAAAUUAACUAAAUAAUUCUAAAAUAAGUAUAGUAAAACUUGCCUAAGUCGACUGUGUCUAAGUCAAAUAAUUUCUAAGUCGAUCUUAUUUUACAUGCCAACUUGUUGUGUUUUCCAUUAGGUCGAACAGUAUUUCAAUGUCAUUUUGGAUUCGACUUAGGCAAGUUCAACUAUAUUAUAAUUUAAAUACAAGUUACACUUGUAUUCUAGUCUAGGAAAUGCUAUUUAUGUAACAUCUGAGCUGAAAUUAUUCCAAAGCAUUCAAUUAAUUAAAUUUGUUUACAAAAGCCAACAGUUGUGAAAUUUUGAUCCAUUUUUUAAACAGAUCUUUAUUAGCCAAUAAAAAUUCAACAUCACAAAAGCAUGUAUUUCAUAGUUUAGAUAAAUUGUUCUGCUUUUAAAAAACUAAAGUACUCAAAGUGAAUUUUUCCAGAAACGAAUAACAAAAUCAUGGUUAGUAUAAUCAUCAAAAUAUGUGGAAUUGUAACAACUACUAUUAAUAAAAAUUAGGCCUAAAAAUAACAAAACAUGAACAAUAAAGAAAAACAACAGCAACAAAAACAAUAAUAAAUAUGUAGGCCCUAUAGUACUUUUGGAAAAGUAAAUAUUUACACAGCAUAUAAAGUAUUUU